rnacentral:rRNA from 1 species
CCUACGGGAGGCAGCAGUAGGGAAUUUUCCGCAAUGGGCGAAAGCCUGACGGAGCAAUACCGCGUGAGGGAUGACGGCCUGUGGGUUGUAAACCUCUUUUCUCAAGGAAGAAGUUCUGACGGUACUUGAGGAAUAAGCAUCGGCUAACUCUGUGCCAGCAGCCGCGGUAAUACAGAGGAUGCAAGCGUUAUCCGGAAUCACUGGGCAUAAAGCGUCUGUAGGUUGUUUAGUAAGUCUGCUGUUAAAGACUGGGGCUUAACCCCAGAAAAGCAGUGGAAACUGCUAGACUCGAGUGUGGUAGAGGUAGAGGGAAUUCCUAGUGUAGCGGUGAAAUGCGUAGAUAUUAGGAAGAACACCAAUGGCGAAGGCACUCUACUGGGCCAUAACUGACACUGAGAGACGACAGCUAGGGGAGCAAACGGGAUUAGAUACCCCGGUAGUCCUAGCCGUAAACGAUGGAUACUAGAUGUUGCACGUAUUAACCCGUGCAGUAUCGUAGCUAAGGCGUUAAGUAUCCCGCCUGGGAAGUACGCUCGCAAGAGUGAAACUCAAAGAUAGCGCGNGAGAGNGCGACGACGACGACGACGGAGGAGG